UACAAAGAUAUUUUACUUCUAGAUGGAUAGCGAUGACGUCACGAAUUGUUAGAAAGUGAUAGCUCAAUACAAAUUAACUAAUGUAUGAAAGAGACGCAUGACUUUUUUUUUGUCCCUUUCGGUAUGGCCGGGUUUUUUGUUUGGCAACUGUGUUCAGUUGACAAUUAGUUGCCAAACAAAUAGACGCGCUGUGAUUUUUAACUGUUUUUUGUGUUAAAGUGAAAAAGGAGAAUUUAAAAGAGUUAUUAUAUUAAGUGGCGAGGAAAACUCCUUCGAUUGUGAUGGUGGGAUGUUCCAUUCUUGGCUGUAAGAGCCGUAGCGAACAACAAAUACCUGGAUUGACGUUUUAUGCGUAAGUACCGCUAUAAAUGUUGUUUUUCUUAGAGUUUCACGUACUAAUUAGAAUGAAAGUGAGUGUUUAUUUUGUUUCUGACAAUUCCUUAAACAAAUUCACACAGGUCUGCUUUAAUUUCGGAAAUAGGUAAUUUAUCAUAACCUCAAACCUCGUAUCAUUAUUGAAAGCUGUAUUGCCAUGUCGACAAAAUUAUCUCCCGGAUAAAUUAAAAAUAUUGUGUUGUGUCGUCUUUGUUAUUAUUGAGGUAUUGUUACAUAGCUAACAUCGUGGAUGGAUCAAACCAAAAAAUCCUUUUCCCACCGAACCCAAUGCACGGAGUGUAUGGGUGGCAGCAACUGGACGUUCAAACUGGCAGCCAAAAGGAAGUUCAAAAGUGUGUUCAAUACAUUUUGAAGAUGGAUCUUUUACUACCUCAAAAAGAAGAAAAUAUUUAAAACCUGGAACUAUUCCUGAAAAACAAAUUCAUAAGCUGGUAUCAACAAAACCACAAAGUUGUCUCGAGGUGAAAAAGUGUGAUCUUGAGCGCGAGUUGAGAGAUGUUCAACUUAAGCUAGAAAGGCAAACAAAGAUUUCGGCGACACGGUUGAAGAAAUUGCGUGCAAGUCGAGAGUCGCGGAGAAGACUGCAGAAGAAGGUUGCAGUUUUGGAAAAUAUUCUGGUUGAAUUAAAAGCUAAAAUGCCGAUAAAAUGCGAACUACACCAACAACUGGAGUCGUGAAAAUUGCUUUAAGAAAAAUAAUGAGAAUUUGUGUCCGAAACAGCGACGGACAUCUAGAACAUGAAAUGUGAAAAUAAUGAUUAAUAAAUAUUUACUGUUUA